rnacentral:rRNA from 1 species
CUCCCGCCGGCGACCGGCGCACGGGUGGAGUAACACGUAUGAAACCUGCCCGUAGCAGGGGAUAAGCGGAAGAAAUUCCGUCUAAUACCGCGUAACAACCCGAGGAGGCAUCUCCUCGGGUUUAAAGGAAGCGAUUCCGGCUACGGAUGGUCAUGCGUCGCAUUAGCUAGUUGGCGGGGUAACGGCCCACCAAGGCGACGAUGCGUAGGGGUUCUGAGAGGAAGGUCCCCCACACUGGUACUGAGACACGGACCAGACUCCUACGGGAGGCAGCAG